ACAUGCGGGCGCAUUAGCUAGUUGGCGGGGUAACGGCCCACCGAGGCUACGAUGCGUAGGGGUUCUGAGAGGAAGGUCCCCCACACUGGUACUGAGACACGGUCCAGACUCCUACGGGAGGCAGCAGUGAGGAAUAUUGGUCAAUGGGCGCAAGCCUGAACCAGCCAAGUCGCGUGAGGGAAGACGGCCCUAUGGAUUGUAAACCUCUUUUGCCGGGGAGCAAGCCUCAGCACGUGUGCCCAGAAGGAGAGUACCCGGAGAAAAAGCAUCGGCUAACUCCGUGCCAGCAGCCGCGGUAAUACGGAGGAUGCGAGCGUUAUCCGGAUUUAUUGGGUUUAAAGGGUGCGCAGGCGGACUGUUAAGCCAGCGGUAAAAAUUCAGGGCUCAACCCCGUCCAGCCGUUGAAACUGGCAGCCUUGAGUGGGCGAGAAGUAUGCGGAAUGCGUGGUGUAGCGGUGAAAUGCAUAGAUAUCAUGGGGAACUCCGAUUGCGAAGGCAGCAUACCGGCGCCCAACUGACGCUCAGGCACGAAAGCGUGGGGAUCGAACAAGAUUAGAUACAAUGGUAGUCCUCGCAGUAAACGAUGAGCGGUAACUGUCAGGAGAGAGCGAGAUCUGUGCGGUACAGGGAAAAGCUUAAGCGGUCCAAAUUGGGAGUAAGCGGGCAAGGGCGAAACUCAAAGGAAAAGACGGGGGCCAGCACAAGGGGAGGAACAGAACGUUUAAUUGGAUGAUACGGGAGGAACCUUACCGGGGAUUAAAACUAAGCGGAAUAACGGUGUAAGCGGUGAGGUAUUGAUAUCGGCAGAUGAGGCGGUGCAGGG
rnacentral:rRNA from 1 species